UACGUAGGGUCCGAGCGUUGUCCGGAAUUAUUGGGCGUAAAGGGCUCGUAGGCGGUUAGUCGCGUCGGGAGUGAAAACUCAGGGCUCAACCCUGAGCGUGCUUCCGAUACGGGCUGACUAGAGGUAUGCAGGGGAGAACGGAAUUCCUGGUGUAGCGGUGGAAUGCGCAGAUAUCAGGAGGAACACCAGUGGCGAAGGCGGUGCUCUGGGCCGGAACUGACGCUGAGGAGCGAAAGCGUGGGGAGCAAACAGG
rnacentral:rRNA from 1 species